rnacentral:rRNA from 1 species
AUGAACGAUACCCUAUGUGCUCCCUUCUCGGAGGAGGAGGUAUCAAAUGACCUCUUUCAAAUCAGUCCGCUUAAAGCAGCAGGGACGGACGGCCUCCCGGCGAGGUUCUUUCAACAAAACUGGGCCGUGCUGAAAUCUGAAAUCAUAGCUGCUGUGCUGGAGUUCUUUAAGUCAGGAGAUAUUCCGGACGGGGUGAACGACACGGCUAUCGUUCUUAUCCCGUAA